UACAGAGGUCUCAAGCGUUGUUCGGAUUCAUUGGGCGUAAAGUGUGCGCAGGCGGCCGCGCAAGUCGAGUGUGAAAUCCCCGAGCUUAACUUGGGAAUUGCGCUCGAAACUACGUGGCUGGAGUGUGGCAGAGGAAGGUGGAAUUCCACGUGUAGCGGUGAAAUGCGUAGAGAUGUGGAGGAACACCGAUGGCGAAGGCAGCCUUCUGGGCCAACACUGACGCUCAUGCACGAAAGCGUGGGGAGCAAACAGG
rnacentral:rRNA from 1 species